rnacentral:rRNA from 1 species
CCUACGGUGAGCUGCAGUGAGGAAUAUUGGUCAAUGGACUCCAGUCUGAACCAGCCAUGCCGCGUGCAUGAUGCCGGCUCUAUGAGUUGUAAACUGCUUUUGUUCGAUGGUAACCCCCGAUCCGUGUAUAUGGUUGAAAUUAUCGUACGCAUAAGGAUCUGCUAACUCCGUGCCAGCAGCCGCGGUAAUACGGAGGAUCCGAGCGUUAUCCGGGUUUCUUGGGUUUAAAGAGUGCGUACGCGGUUUGAUAAGUUAGAGGUGAAAUGUCGGGGCUCACCCCCGAAACUGCCUCUAAUACUGUUGGACUAGAGAAUAGUUGCGGUAGGCGGAAUGUAUGGUGUAGCGGUGAAAUGCUUAGAGACCAUACAGAACACCGAUUGCGAAGGCAGCUUACCAAACUAUAUCUGACGUUGAGGCACGAAAGCGUGGGUAGCAAACAGGAUUAGAUACCCGGGUAGUC